GACGAACGCUGGCGGCGUGCUUAACACAUGCAAGUCGAACGGAAAGGCCCUGCUUUUGUGGGGUGCUCGAGUGGCGAACGGGUGAGUAACACGUGAGUAACCUGCCCUUGACUUUGGGAUAACUUCAGGAAACUGGGGCUAAUACCGGAUAGGAGCUCCUGCUGCAUGGUGGGGGUUGGAAAGUUUCGGCGGUUGGGGAUGGACUCGCGGCUUAUCAGCUUGUUGGUGGGGUAGUGGCUUACCAAGGCUUUGACGGGUAGCCGGCCUGAGAGGGUGACCGGCCACAUUGGGACGGGGAGACGGCCCAGACGCCUACGGGAGGCAGCAGUGGGGAAUAUUGCACAAGGGGCGGAAGCGUGAUGCAGCAACGCCGCGUGCGGGAGGACGGCCUUCGGGUGGUAAACCGAUUUCGCCUGUGACGAAGCGUGAGGGACGGUAAUGGGUAAAGAAACACCGGCUAACUACGU
rnacentral:rRNA from 1 species